rnacentral:rRNA from 1 species
GACGAACGCUGGCGGCGUGCUUAACACAUGCAAGUCGAACGGAAAGGCCCUGCUUGCAGGGUACUCGAGUGGCGAACGGGUGAGUAACACGUGGGUGAUCUGCCCUGCACUUCGGGAUAAGCCUGGGAAACUGGGUCUAAUACCGGCUAGGAGCCAUUUUUAGUGUGAUGGUUGGAAAGUUUUUUCGGUGUAGGAUGAGCUCGCAGCCUAUCAGCUUGUUGGUGGGGUAAUGGCCUACCAAGGCGGCGACGGGUAGCCGGCCUGAGAGGGUGGACGGCCACAUUGGGACUGAGAUACGGCCCAGGCACCUACGGGAGGCAGCAGUGGGGAAGAUUGCACAAUGGGCGCCAGCCGGAUGCAGCGGCGCCGCGUGGGGGAUGACGGCCUUCGGGUUGUAGACUCCUUUCGCAAGGGACGAAGCUUUUUGUGACGGUACCUAGAUAAGAAGCACCGGCUAACUACGUG